UGGGGAAUUUUGGACAAUGGGGGAAACCCUGAUCCAGCCAUCCCGCGUGUGCGAUGAAGGCCUUCGGGUUGUAAAGCACUUUUGGCAGGAAAGAAACGUCAUGGGUUAAUACCCCGUGAAACUGACGGUACCUGCAGAAUAAGCACCGGCUAACUACGUGCCAGCAGCCGCGGUAAUACGUAGGGUGCAAGCGUUAAUCGGAAUUACUGGGCGUAAAGCGUGCGCAGGCGGUUCGGAAAGAAAGAUGUGAAAUCCCAGAGCUCAACUUUGGAACUGCAUUUUUAACUACCGGGCUAGAGUGUGUCAGAGGGAGGUGGAAUUCCGCGUGUAGCAGUGAAAUUCGUAGAUAUGCGGAGGAACACCGAUGGCGAAGGCAGCCUCCUGGGAUAACACUGACGCUCAUGCACGAAAGCGUGGGGAGCAAACAGG
rnacentral:rRNA from 1 species